AGCACCCUUUGGGUGUGACUGCGUACCUUUUGUAUAAUGGGUCAGCGACUUAUAUUCUGUAGCAAGGUUAACCGAAUAGGGGAGCCGGAGGGAAACCGAGUCUUAACCGGGCGUUAAGUUGCAGGGUAUAGACCCGAAACCCGGUGAUCUAGCCAUGGGCAGGUUGAAGGUUGGGUAACACUAACUGGAGGACCGAACCGACUAAUGUUGAAAAAUUAGCGGAUGACCUGUGGCUGGGGGUGAAAGGCCAAUCAAACCGGGAGAUAGCUGGUUCUCCCCGAAAGCUAUUUAGGUAGCGCCUCGUGAAUUCAUCUCCGGGGGUAGAGCACUGUUUCGGCUAGGGGGCCAUCCCGGCUUACCAACCCGAUGCAAACUGCGAAUACCGGAGAAUGUUAUCACGGGAGACACACGGCGGGUGCUAACGUCCGUCGUGAAGAGGGAAACAACCCAGACCGCCAGCUAAGGUCCCAAAGUCAUGGUUAAGUGGGAAACGAUGUGGGAAGGCCCAGACAGCCAGGAUGUUGGCUUAGAAGCAGCCAUCAUUUAAAGAAAGCGUAAUAGCUCACUGGUCGAGUCGGCCUGCGCGGAAGAUGUAACGGGGCUAAACCAUGCACCGAAGCUGCGGCAGCGACACUGUGUGUUGUUGGGUAGGGGAGCGUUCUGUAAGCCUGUGAAGGUGU
rnacentral:rRNA from 1 species